rnacentral:rRNA from 1 species
CUGAACCAGCCAUGCCGCGUGCAGGAAGACGGUCCUAUGGAUUGUAAACUGCUUUUAUUCGGGGAUAAACCUCUUUACGUGUAGAGAGCUGAAGGUACCGAAAGAAUAAGCACCGGCUAACUCCGUGCCAGCAGCCGCGGUAAUAC